AGUGAACGCUGGCGGUAGGCCUAACACAUGCAAGUCGAACGGCAGCACAGUAAUAGCUUGCUCUUACGGUUGGCGAGUGUCGUACGUGUGAGGAAUACAUCGUAAUCUACUUUUUCUUGGGGUAUAACGUAGGGACACUUACGCUAAUACCGCAUACGACCUACGUUUUAAUUCAUUGUAUCUUCUGACCUUUCUCGUUUUUUUUAGCCGAUGUCGGAUUUUCUAGUUGGCGGGGUAAAGGCCCACCAAGUCGACGAUCCGUAGAUGGUCUGAGAGGAUGAUCAGCCACACUGGAACUGAGACACGGACCAGACUACUACGGGAGGCAGCAGUGGGGAAUAUGGGACAAGGGGGGCAAGCAUGAUACAGCAAGACCGCGUGGGUGAAGAAGGACUUCGGGUUGUAAAGCACUUUUGUUGGGAAAGAAAAGAAGCAGGUUAAAAACAAGAUGUAAUGACGGUAACAAAAGAAUAAGCACCGGCUAACUUCGUG
rnacentral:rRNA from 1 species